AUGUUAAUUCAUUGUGAGAAAAUAGUUGACCACCUAAUAUGCCUUAUUAUUCUGCUCUUCCUCUGUCUCUUCAGGACUUUCAAGUUCUGUCUCUUCACCUUGAAUGUUCUGAAGAAUUCCUAUGUCUUUUCUCUCUGGGAAGGCAAAAUGUUGUGUCACCUUCAAUGUGAAAGAGGGUAUUUGCUGCCAGAGUGUGUUUUCCUUUUAAAAGGUAAGUGCCUUUUUAAGAAAUAUUAUAUAAAAUUAUCAUGGUUUCUGAUUUAUAGCUUUGAAGACCCUAUUAAUUUUAAAGCCCCAUGGCUGACAGCUGUGUUGUUCAAAGGUGAGGAUAUAUAGUUUUAAUUAUCUUAAGCUCCAGAUUAUCGUUCAUGGUGCGGACAUUAAGAAAAAAGGACAAACUGGCACAGUUUUCUAUUUUAGCAAGAACAAUUCAUUAACCUGACGAUUUUUAAAAGAAGUCCCUGUUGAAGUAAGAUACAAUGAACACGGUUCAGUUUGAUCACAUUUGUUUCACUUCUGGAUGGAUGUAGAUAGUUUUCAUGGAAAUUACCGGUAACUUAGAGUGUGGCUGCAGUUUUGUUUUGUUUUUAACUGGUUUUUCUUUGUUAUUUGGUAAUUGGAAUCGGAGAAUGGCUUAGACAUUUUGAAAGUUAAAAAUGCUUGUAUCUUAAAUAUAUUACUUACCAGUAAAGACCAUACAGUUUCUACUAGACUACAUUUAUAUUUUCACAUUUAGCAAUGUAUUAGUUCAACCGUGAGUUAAAUUUUAGAGUUGACUCAAUCUAGUAUUUAAACUUUCCAGAAUUCUGUGAUGCUUAAAAGCAAACUAAAUGCCUACAUAGAGAAUACUUUAUAUUUUAUGAUGUUCCCAAAAACGACUACUUCCUUGUGUUACUUCUCAGCUUGCCUUUCCCUAAGCGUUCAUUCAGGAAGUGGAGACAUAGAGUGGUGAUUAUUUACCGUAUGCCUGGUUUAGAGUCUUUGUUUCUUUAACAAGUCAUGGUGGAUAUCUUCAAAAGACACUCGUCCACAGCAUCCAUGGCAAACAUCAAUCUCUAUUACUGCUCUAGCUUGGAAGUUUCACUUGUUUAUACCUAUUGGUUCAGUGUCAUCACUUUUUUACUAUCAUACCUUUUGGAUGCUGUAUUGAGAGAAAUUUCUUGCCUCUAGGGCAUUCGAAUCCAGCUUCUGGUUAUAAUAACAGAGGAACUCUGUGUGUGAUUACAUUGCGAAUAUAAGUAAAUUAAUAAAUUAUCACUCUUUCCUCCACCUAAUAAGUGUUUAUUUACAGGGUUGUAUUUCUACGAUCUAGUAAUGUUGGUGUAUUAGCCUGUGUAUUAGCAUCAUGCUUUCAUGGCUAGGUAUAUAGUUAUCAGAGAAAUGCAUUUUAUAGCCACUUUGCAUUUGGAAAAUAGCACUUCUGUUACUUGUAAGUCCCUGCUUAUGGUAGGAGCCCAUAAGUCUGUUACGUGAGUGACCAAGAACUAUGUUUAAAAGCACAAUUUACAAAUUCUGCCAUGUCAUGGCAGUUGGUAACUGUGACAGAAUUACAAUGAAGUUCUUUUUUAAUAAGUUUAAUCUUAAACUAUUUAAAUAUAUGAUGUACAUGUUAUGAGAACCAUGGUUUAGACUACAUUGCAGAAAACCAAUCAAGAAAAGUAAAAAAAUUAACCAUUUUUAAAAUUCUUUCUCCCUUCCAUUAAAAUUGUGUAGACUUUAGGGUCAGUCAGAACUCACUAAUAGACCUACCUCCAGCUCUUACUUUCUGUGUGACCAUAGGCAAGUUAUUUUACCUCUCUGAGACAUUUCAAUUAGUUUUUAGACUGGAUAUAAUAAUAUCUAUUUUGCGUAACUGUCAUAAAUAUGCUGCAAGUGGUUUUCUGCUUUCCCCUAAAAGUCAAUCACAUCUUGUGUACACAGACUCAGACAAAUUCCUUAUUGCUGUAGCAAUAAGACUAUAAUUUUAUGGUGGGCUUGUCUUUUUUUUUUUUUUUUUGUCUUCUAUGUUCAUAAAUUUUGCCUUGAGUGUACUGACCUGGUAGAAUAUUCACAUCUAAAAAAAUAGAGCAUAAUAUCGUGCUAAACUCUGUAUAAAGAUGCUGCCUUCAUUGGGGUCCAGGAGUACAUGCUGGGCAUUGAUGUAGAGGCAUUUUAUGAACAAACAACUCUCAUUUUAAUAAUUCUUUAUGAGUCUUAAAUACUUCUUUCUUAUCUUGUCUUCUCUUCAGCGCUACUACUUAGGUUAUUUCCUCUCCAGAGACCUAGUCCUCUUUACCAUGUACUAAAGCCUAGAACUGGGCCUCUGUUCUAGCUUCUUUUAUUCCUUUAUUUGGAAAGCAUUUUCUUGCAAUCCUUUCUCUCCAAACUACUGGAUAAUUGAGUAGCUAAAUGACUGAAAAUGUUUCAAUAGGCUUCCAAGGUAGUAUUUACAUCUUAAUGAGCUUUUGUAAGGCUUAAACUAAGAGAAUAUGAUGAUCUCUUUGGCAUGUGGAGUUAUUUGAGGCCCAAAGUUAUUCCCAGACAGUCCCAUAAACUUAUAAAAGUAGGGGUGCUUUCUCUCCAUGCUUGCUAUAAAGCUUCUACAUGCAUACAAGACUUCACAUAAAUAUUCUCUUUCUCUUUUUCCCCUUUCUCCCACUGCAGAUAAAAAAUUCCAAGUGGACAAAAAUUGAUAUCUAUUUUUUUCUGAAAAUUGUGAACACAUUAUUUUAAAUCUUCUCUGUGCUUUUUCCAAUCCCCUUUGAUUUUUUUAAUUGCCUUCAAAACUUUAAGAAUAAUUUACAUUUUUUGCUUAUCACAAAUUCUUAUAUGCCUGAGUCAAACAGUUUGGUUAUGCUUUGAGGGAAUCAUGACUUUUGUGUUUUUGAUCAGGAAACAGAGAAGGACACUACUUGUCUAAACUUGGCAGAGUGACAAUAGGUUAAUACUGGGGUUUCUGACACCCAAAGCAGUUCAAAUAUGCCGACGUCAUUCUAUCACGUAAAAGCAAUUUAUGUGCUAUUUUUCUUCUAUGAAUUUACUUAUGCAUAUGCAAAUACGAGAAAGAAGAAAAAAACAAACAAAAUGUACUUCUUGUGAUAAUGUGACUCAGCUCCUCAAUAAGCCAGGCCGUCCCAGGCUUCUUGCCAAAAUAACCUCAGUGUUGACAGGGAGCUAAAUGUCUUUUAAUAGCAAAAAGCCAAAAAUGAAAAUAGUUUAAAAGAUAUAAAUGAGAGAUUCAUUUUUAAAUAGAAUUCUCUGCUUGAAUAAUGCAGUGUAUACAUGACAUUAAUAAAGUUCUAGAAAAAAUGAUGGAAAGACCUACAUGUCACAUUUUGCCAGGCACAGUUAACUGAUUCUGGUGUCUAUGAAAAAGGGACAAUAGAGUCCCCUGAGAAUAUUUUAACUGACCUUCAAAUGUCAUUCCAAGUGCUUUAAUAAUAAAGAACUGAAAUUCUUUGACAUGGGUUGAUUUUUUUAUCUUGAAGCUAUCUUAUUUUUUAUGUUUACUGAAAAGUUACUAUUGGAUUCUAGUGCUUUCAGAAAAGACCUUUUUGUUUUUUUUAUCUUAUAUCAUCUUUGUGAGUCUAAAUUUUCUAUGGUUUGCUUCACUCUUCCCAAGCCAAAACCUACUAAUUUUACUUAUCACAAAACAUUUCUUCCCCAAUCAGACAAGUGGAUGUUUUUGUUUAUUCUUUGCUUCUUAAUUGUUUUGAACAGUAAUCCUAUAUUAAUUUAGAUAAAUCCACACAGUGAUAUUAAAAUGAUCAUAAAAGUAGCAUGUGACAAGUUUAUCCGGGCUUAUAGGUUAGAAUUUGGUUAGGGGUGUCUAUUAUGAGCAUUGCAACUAUAUGAGAAGCAAUCAACUCUAAAGUUAAUACUUCUGAAUAAAUUUUAUUUUUUAGCAUGCAAUUUUCCCUAGAAAUCUGAAAAAUUCGGAAAUUGUUUUCCUUUAUAUCUAGAAUAGCCUGUCUUCCACAUAUUUUUUAAACCUACAUCAUGUAUUGUUGAAUCCCUUACCAAAGGCACUGAUGCAUUUCUAUUUUAUUUUUUGAUAAUUCUGAAAAAUUCUGUACCUAGUUCUCUUGAGCCAUGGUAGCUCUAUUUCAUUUCUGAAUCAAGCUCCAUGCUUCUUUAUACCUUCCAACUUUUGACAUGUUUUUACUGGCAACUUAGUCAUUAGCAUAUUUGUGAGAUCUAACUUUAUAUCACUGUUUCAGGUGAAUAUGUAAAGCACAGAAAACUAGAUAAAAUGUUGGGUACUUUUUUUUUUUUUUUUUGGAGAGGGGUUUUUACUGUGUUGGUGACGCUGGUCUUGAACUCCUGACCUCAGGUGAUCUAUCCGACUCAUCCUCCCAAAGUGCCAGGAUUACAGGCGUGAGCCACCGCAACUGGCCCUCCCCUUUUUUAAUGUU
rnacentral:lncRNA from 1 species